UGAUGAUUUAAACAACGCCUCGAUGCUGUAGGAUGUUGGUGCUCACAAAUUAGGAAGAAUAAAUAGCAAGCAUUUCACUGAGGGAAGUGGACCUAAAAUGCAGAUUGUUCAACUUAAACUUGGAAAGAUACAAGAUCCACCCAGAGUAGAAGAGAAAUCAUUCACAUUUAUAUGUCACAGCCUGUCCAUUCACAUCUUAAAAUGAGGAGGAAGAGGAGGAGUGGAAGAGAAGCUUACAAAGAGGAGAGGAAGAUGAUAGUGACGAAAAUCUCUAUGGAGGCUCUAUAUGGCCUAAAAUACUCAGCAUCUAGUUCUUCCCAGAAAAAAAAUUUCCAAUGAGUUUCAAGCUAACAACAAUUUCUCUAAAACAAAAUAAUGUACUAAUAAAAUUAUUAGCAUGGGAGAUACUGAGUGGCAGCGUAAAGAACCUCUCAAUGACCUUUCUCCACUAUUUGCCUCAGAUACUAUCUGCUUUCUUCAAGUAUAGGUUUGUGGAGGGGGUUAGGUGGGGGAAGGAGUAGGGUACAUUUAUCCUAGUUUUCUGUUCUCUAUGUCCAGGAAUAAAUACCAAACUAGGUCAACAAAAUACAUGGCUACCCCCACAGGUAACAUUUCUGCAAAUGAAGGGUUAUUGAUUUUGCUUACAAAUUUGUCUCUUGUUUUGGAAAAUGUCUCUCUCAGAUACUUGAAGCUAUGAGUUCAGUCUCAUGUGUUCUUAGUCAUUACACUUUAAAAAAUUUGUU